rnacentral:rRNA from 1 species
UACGUAGGAUGCAAGCGUUGUCCGGAAUUAUUGGGCGUAAAGAGCUCGUAGGCGGUCUGUUGCGUCCGCUGUGAAAACUCGGGGCUUAACCCCGAGCCUGCAGUGGAUACGGGCAGACUAGAGGUAGGUAGGGGAGAAUGGAAUUCCCGGUGUAGCGGUGAAAUGCGCAGAUAUCGGGAGGAACACCGGUGGCGAAGGCGGUUCUCUGGGCCUUACCUGACGCUGAGGAGCGAAAGCGUGGGGAGCGAACAGG